rnacentral:rRNA from 1 species
UACAGAGGUGGCAAGCGUUGUUCGGAAUUACUGGGCGUAAAGGGCGCGUAGGCGGCCUUGUAAGUCCUGUGUGAAAUCCCCCGGCUCAACUGGGGAACUGCACAGGAGACUGCUUGGCUUGAGUUCGGGAGAGGGAAGCGGAAUUCCGGGUGUAGCGGUGAAAUGCGUAGAUAUCGGGAGGAACACCAGUGGCGAAGGCGGCUUCCUGGCCUGUUCUUGACGCUGAGGCGCGAAAGCUAGGGGAGCAAACGGG